rnacentral:ncRNA from 1 species
GUUUCAGGGCGGGGUGCGAUUCCCCACUGGCGGUAAAGGGCAGAAGCCACGAGUCCGCGAGCCUUAAAAGGGCAGAGCCGGUAAGAUCCCGGCACCAACGGUACAGUCCGGAUGAAAGAAA